GAUGAAGAACGCAGCGAAAUGCGAUAAGUAAUGUGAAUUGCAGAAUUCAGUGAAUCAUCGAAUCUUUGAACGCACCUUGCACCCUUUGGCAUUCCGAAGGGUAUGCUCGUUUGAGUGUCAUUGUACUCUCACACUUCCAAUCUUUGGAUUGGGAGCAGUGGACUUGGGUGUUGCUGCUUACUGUGGCUCACCUCAAAUCGAUUCGUGAACCUCUUGGUUGGACAUAGUACGGCGUGAUAAGUGUCUUCGCCGGCACCUCAGUAGAGGGUGGCUGAUCAGGAGCUCUGUGCUUCAAACCGUCCUCGGACAAAAACUGACAACUUGACCUCAAAUCGAGUAGGACUACCCGCUGAACUUAAGCAUAUCAAUAAGCGGAGGA
rnacentral:misc_RNA from 1 species